rnacentral:rRNA from 1 species
UACGGGGGGGGGCAAGCGUUGUUCGGAAUUACUGGGCGUAAAGGGCUCGUAGGCGGCCAACUAAGUCGGACGUGAAAUCCCCCAGGCUCAACCUGGGAACUGCGUCUGAUACUGGAUGGCUUGAAUCCGGGAGAGGGAUGCAGAAUUCCAGGUGUAGCGGUGAAAUGCGUAGAUAUCUGGAGGAAUACCGGUGGCGAAGGCGGCAUCCUGGACCGGCAUUGACGCUGAGGAGCGAAAGCCAGGGGAGCAAAGCA